UACGGAGGGUGCGAGCGUUGUCCGGAAUCAUUGGGCGUAAAGGGCGCGUAGGCGGCCCGGUAAGGUUGCGGUGAAAGCCCGGGGCUCAACCCCGGGUCGGCCGUGGCAACUGCUGGGCUGGAGCACAGUAGAGGCGGGUGGAAUUCCGGGUGUAGCGGUGGAAUGCGUAGAGAUCCGGAAGAACACCGGUGGCGAAGGCGGCCCGCUGGGCUGUUGCUGACGCUGAGGCGCGACAGCGUGGGGAGCAAACAGG
rnacentral:rRNA from 1 species